rnacentral:lncRNA from 1 species
AUGGCUGCUUCAGAAGAAGACACUAAAACAUUUGCUCCUUCUAACAAAACCGUCUUACAGAGGUUGAACAUUAGUGAAAACAGCCGCAGGAGUCUGGACAUAAGAAUGUCAUUAAUAGGGAAAGCAACAGAAAACUGUCAAUGCAAAACUGUUCAUCAGUGGCUGAGGGACAACUCCCAGUCUGACUCUUUCUCCAGACUGGUGGACAUGGUCGAUUUUCUGCAAAAACACAUCCAUGAGGCAGAGAGGAAGAGCCAUGGUGCCUGCGUUGACAUCACCUUUUGGGCUCAUGGGUCUAUAGGACUCCCUCUGAUCCCAGCCAGCUGCCUGAUGCCUCUGCCCACCGUCAGGGACGUGGUGUUGUACGCUCCCUGGAACUGUAUCACGAUCACUGAUGUAACGUACGGUGUCGCUACAGGAAGAAUUCAGCCUCAGCGCAGAGUGUUUUACUGUAGGGACCACGACAAGUGUCCAGUUCCUGAUGGAAAGCACCGACCCACCAACCUGCCAGAUCGCUGGAACUCGUUGAAGGAAGCUGAUGGAUGGAAAAUCCCCACCAUUGUGGUCAGUCCUUUAGAGCAUGAGGAUGGUGCAUGGAACAGGUUGAAGCACCUCAUUAAACAACAUGGAUCAGUAGGAAGGAACCGCAUCCUCAUCCCGUUCAUCCUCCCAGGUCAAAGUGGCGUCACUGUCCCGUUCCCUGUGGUCACCCUGGCCCUGUCUCUGGUUCUGCUUUCCUCCAGGUUCAAAGCCACCAUCCAUCUGGCUGCUUGCCUGAGAGAUCCAACUGGAGAACUGACAGGGUAUCAAGAAUAUCUGAAGCGGCAGUACGCCUACGCUACGGACAACACAGGAAUGGAAGUGGUUUUCAGUUGAACCCUGAUGUCGGGGCCUCUUUGUGAACAGGGUUCUGGACCUGCCAGUUGAUAAAACAUGUCACUGUAUGUCAAUCAAGAUGAGAGCUUCUUCCCAAGGGCUGUGUCUUGCAAUUCCUCGCUUGUCCUGUGCAAACCUGGCGAAUAAAGCUGACUUUGACUUUAACA